GAAAAGAAACCAACAGGGAAUGCCCUAGUAACGGCGAGUGAAGCGGCAACAGCUCAAAUUUGAAAUCUGGCUUCGGCCCGAGUUGUAAUUUGCAGAGGAAGCUUUAGGCGCGGCACUUUCUGAGUCCCCUGGAACGGGGCGCCAUAGAGGGUGAGAGCCCCGUAUAGUUAGAUGCCUAGCCUGUGUAAAGCUCCUUCGACGAGUCGAGUAGUUUGGGAAUGCUGCUCAAAAUGGGAGGUAAAUUUCUUCUAAAGCUAAAUACCGGCCAGAGACCGAUAGCGCACAAGUAGAGUGAUCGAAAGAUGAAAAGCACUUUGAAAAGAGGGUUAAAUAGCACGUGAAAUUGUUGAAAGGGAAGCGCUUGUGACCAGACUUGCGCCGGGCAGAUCAUCCGGU
rnacentral:rRNA from 1 species